CAUUAAGCACUCCGCCUGGGGAGUACGACCGCAAGGUUGAAACUCAAAGGAAUUGACGGGGGCCCGCACAAGCGGUGGAGCAUGUGGUUUAAUUUGAAGCAACGCGAAGAACCUUACCAGGUCUUGACAUCCUUUGACCACUCUAGAGAUAGAGCUUCCCCUUCGGGGGCAAAGUGACAGGUGGUGCAUGGUUGUCGUCAGCUCGUGUCGUGAGAUGUUGGGUUAAGUCCCGCAACGAGCGCAACCCUUAUUGUUAGUUGCCAUCAUUUAGUUGGGCACUCUAGCAAGACUGCCGGUGACAAACCGGAGGAAGGUGGGGAUGACGUCAAAUCAUCAUGCCCCUUAUGACCUGGGCUACACACGUGCUACAAUGGGAAGUACAACGAGUCGCGAAGUCGUGAGGCUAAGCUAAUCUCUUAAAGCUUCUCUCAGUUCGGAUUGUAGGCUGCAACUCGCCUACAUGAAGCCGGAAUCGAUAGUAAUCGCGGAUCAGCACGCCGCGGUGAAUACGUUCCCGGGCCUUGUUAC
rnacentral:rRNA from 1 species